AUCCCUUUUCUUAGUUAUGGUGCCUAAACGCCAAAGAGGGAACAUGGUGUAAAUCCGUGACUACCCCCGUAACUGUAAGGGAAGAGCCCACUCCAUAAACCCACUGAAGUCUUUCGGGAAGGGGGAGAAAAAGGGUAAUGAGGCCCGAGUCAGGAGACCUGCCAUAACGAGUCACCAUCC
rnacentral:ncRNA from 2 species